rnacentral:rRNA from 1 species
GCGUAACGCGUAUGCAACCUACCCUGUACUGGGGGAUAGCCCGGAGAAAUUCGGAUUAAUACCCCAUAGUAUUAUGUAACCGCAUGGUUGUAUAAUUAAAGAUUACGGUACAGGAUGGGCAUGCGUCCUAUUAGCUAGAUGGUGAGGUAACGGCUCACCAUGGCUACGAUAGGUAGGGGGCCUGAGAGGGUGAUCCCCCACACUGGUACUGAGACACGGACCAGACUCCUACGGGAGGCAGCAGUGAGGAAUAUCGGUCAAUGGGCGCAAGCCUGAACCAGCCAUGCCGCGUGCAGGAAGAAGGUCCUAUGGAUUGUAAACUGCUUUUAUUUGGGAAUAAACCUCUGGUCGUGCACCGGAGCUGAAGGUACCAAAUGAAUAAGCACCGGCUAACUCCGUGCCAGCAGCCGCGGUAAUACGGAGGGUGCAAGCGUUAUCCGGAA